rnacentral:rRNA from 1 species
GACGAACGCUGGCGGCGUGCUUAACACAUGCAAGUCGAACGGAAAGGCCCUGCUUUUGUGGGGUGCUCGAGUGGCGAACGGGUGAGUAACACGUGAGUAACCUGCCCUUGACUUUGGGAUAACUUCAGGAAACUGGGGCUAAUACCGGAUAGGAGCUCCUGCAGCAUGGUGGGGGUUGGAAAGUUUCGGCGGUUGGGGAUGGACUCGCGGCUUAUCAGCUUGUUGGUGGGGUAGUGGCUUACCAAGGCUUUGACGGGUAGCCGGCCUGAGAGGGUGACCGGCCACCUUGGGCCUGAGGUACGGCCCAGACUGCUACGGGAGGCAGCAGUGGGGAAUAUUGCACAAUGGGCGGAAGCCUGAUGCAGCAACGCCGCGUUCGGGAUGACGGCCUUCGGGUUGUAAACCGCUUUCGCCUGUGACGAAGCGUGAGUGACGGUAAUGGGUAAAGAAGCACCGGCUAACUACGUG